rnacentral:sRNA from 1 species
GCCGAGCAUGAUGGCGGGCGCCUGUAGUCCCAGCUACUGGGGAGGAGGCUGAGGCAGGAGAAUGGCGUGAACCUGGGAGGCAGAGCUUGCAGUGAGCGGAGAUCGCACCACUGCACUCCAGCCUGGGCGACAGAGUGAGAUUCCGUCUCAAAAA